rnacentral:sRNA from 1 species
UCUCCUUUGGAGGAAUCAAAAUCUUUGAUGAGAAGACAGGGGCCCUUCAGCAUCAUCAUGCUGUUCAUGAAAUAUCCUACAUUGCAAAGGACAUUACAGAUCACCGGGCCUUUGGAUAUGUUUGUGGGAAGGAAGGGAAUCACAGAUUUGUGGCCAUAAAAACAGCCCAGGCGGCUGAACCUGUUAUUCUGGACUUGAGAGAUCUCUUUCAACUCAUUUAUGAAUUGAAGCAAAGAGAAGAAUUAGAAAAAAAGGCACAAAAAGAUAAGCAGUGUGAACAAGCUGUGUACCAGGUAUACCUGUGAAUUUAUCCUUGCGCUGGAGAUCGGGGCUUCAAAUAAACACAUGUAAAAACUGACAGUCAGGCCUUCUCUUCCUGCUGCCAAGUAGAAAUAAACAAAGAUGAAAGAUUCCUGUGUAAAUUACAGGACCCAAAGCAAGCCAUUAGAAAUUAUUCCUUAUUCUCUUAAACUCUAGACAUGUUAGAUGAAGUGAAAUCUCGAAUCCAGAGAAAGAUUUCAGGGGUGGAGGACCCAAGAAACACAACUGCUUUUGCUGUUGUUAACAGUGUGGGUGGAGGUAGGAGUAGCUCUAAGGAUUUUGACUUUUUUGUGUUUUUUCUACCUUGAUGCCCCAC